GUCUGACAUUUGAGGAUUCCAUGGGCCAGGUCUCUCCACAUCCUCUGAUCUUGCACUACUUCUUUGAGUUUUUCUAUGCUCAGGCUGGUAUCAGCUUUGAUGGUGUCCAGGCAUCACGUUCUUUGAUGUUACUCUUGAGUAUUUCUGCCUUCAGCUCUUUUUCACCACUGGAACAAUCUUGUCUCUUUACCAUCUUCUGAAACCUUGAUGUUCUCCAGGACUGAGUGAAUGAGAUAGCGCUGCUCUCAGUUCUUGCCUGCUGAUCUUGUUCCUUCUUUGAGAAGAGUCAAUUCUCACCAAACACCUACUAGAUGAUGAGAUACAUAGAAGGACCUCCUCAUAUACCUUAAAUCUGGGCAGUCUGAACGACAGAGUUGGAAGGGACCUCGGAGGACUUCUAGUCCAACCUCUUGCAGGAAACCCUAAACCUGUGAUGGUGAACCUCCCUGUGGUCACGUGCGCUGUCACCAGGCAGCCAGAUGGUCUUUGUGGGUGCCGGAGCACCAGAAAACAGCUUGAAAACGGCCAAAAAACAGGCCAGGCUGUUUUCGUGCUGUUUUUCAUGCCAUUUUUGGCCAUUUUCGGGCUCAAGAAAUGGAUUGAAAAUGGCCCCAAAACGGCCUGAAAACAGCCCAAAUAAUGGCCCCAAAACAGGUGACAUAGGGUGAAGGCAGGAUUGAACCUGAUUUAAUUCUCCCUCCGUUGGACAAGAAAUGCUCAGAGAUAUUCAUCAUGUAUUUUUAGAGCACCCAAUCUGCACCCCAGCCUAACGAAGUCAACGUCCCCAUUUCUGCGGGAUUUUAAUGCUUCUCUCCCUCCCCUCCGAUUUACUAUGUUUAACACUGAUUCACUGCUUUAAUUUCCCAGGAUCUAAUGUGAUACAUUGAGACAGUUUGCAUUGUUGUUUGCCUUUUGAACACCAGGCAUUUCCACAUCUCUCCCCCUGCACACACACACACUCUCUCUCUUUCAUCUAAUAAAUGUUUCAUGAUAAGAGAAAAUUAUAGCUGAACUAAGGAGGGAGCUUCAAAGCUUAGAAUUAACACAACUGUCCCUGUCAAACCAAAAUAUGUUUGUUUUGGGGUUGCUAUGCAGUGCCAUGCUUUGCAUUUCUGGGCCAAGAAACAGACAGGAGGUUGGACAACGAGCUCAUGGUGCGACCAGAACAAUCUGGAACUGAACACACUCAAAACUGUAGAAAUCAGGGGUGAAAUCCUGCAGGGUUCUGACAGGUUCUGGAGAACCGGUAGCAGAAAUUUUGAGUAGUUCAGAGAACUGGCAAAUGCCACCUCUGGCUGGCCCCAGAGUGGGAUGGGAAUGGAGAUUUUGCAGUAUCCUUCCUCCAGGAGUGGGGAGGAAAUGGGGAUUUUGCAAUAUCCUUCCCUGCCACGCCAACGAAGUCAUGCCCACCAAGCCACACCAUGCCCACCAAGCCAAGCCCACAGAACCGGUAGUAAAAAAAAUUGGACUUCACCACUGGUAGAAAUGGUGGUAGACUUUAGGAGAAACCCUUCCAUACUUCCACAUCUCACAAUACUGGACAACACAGUAUCAACAGUAGUGACCUUCAAAUUUCUAGGUUCUACCGUAUCGCAAGAUCUAAAAUGGACAGCUAACAUCAAAAACGUCAUCAAAAAAGCACAACAAAGAAUGUUCUUUCUGCACCAACUCAGGAAGCUCAAACUGCCCAAGGAGCUGCUGAUCCAGUUCUACAGAGGAAUUAUUGAGUCUGUCAUUUGCACCUCUAUAACUGUCUGGUUUGGUUCUGCAACCCAACAAGAAAGACACAGACUUCAGAGGAUCAUUAGAACUGCAGAAAAAAUAAUGGCUACCAACCUGCCUUCCAUUGAGGACCUGGAUACUGCACGAGUCAAAAAGAGGGCUGGGAAAAUAUUUGCAGAUCCCUCACAUCCUGGACAUAAACUGUUUCAACUACUACCCUCAAAACGACGCUAUAGAGCACUGCACACCAGAACAACUAGACACAAGGACAGUUUUUUUCCCCGAAGGCCAUCACUCUGCUAAGGAAAUAAUUCCCUCAACACUGUCAACUAUUUACUAAAACUGCACUACUAUUAAUCUUCUCAUCGUUCCCAUCACCUAUCUCCUCCCACUAAUGACUGCAUGACUGUAACUUUGUUGCUUGUAUCCUUACAAUUUAUAUUGACUGUUUCCUAGUAUGAUUUGAUUGCUUAUUUGUACCUGUGAUUAUCAUUAAGUGUUGUACCUUAUGAUUUUUGAUGAACAUAUCUUUUAUUUUAUGUACACUGAGAGCUUAUGCACCAAGACAAAUUCCUUGUGUGUCCAAUCACACUUGGCCAAUAAAAAAUUCUAUUCUAUUCUAUUCUAUUCUAUUCUAUUCUAUUCUAUUCUAUUCUAUUCUAUUCUAUUCUAUUCUAUUCUAUUCUAUUCUAUUCUCUGCAGUGGGACAGACACCACUUCUUCCCUCCCUUUAGGCUAACCAUAAGCCAAAAACUGGAAAGCAAGGAUGCCACAGCACCAAACAAACAUUGAUUUGAUUUCAAGAUUCAUUACAUGGUUACUAUGAUAACACUCCUGUCAUCUGUUUAAUAAUGUAUGACUUCUGGCACAUUAAAAUUUAUAGUACAGUUAAAAAAAAUGUUUGCUAGACUCUGUGAGCCAACACGUAUCAAAGGUUUGUAGGGAUCACAAAAUCUCUUGGGUGUAAUUAAAGUUGCGGCGUUAUAUAACUGAAUUUAAUUCUCUGACUUUUUUUUUAAUCUGAUCUCAAUGGAAUGGCAAAAGAAGAAGGGGACGACAGAGAACGAGGUGGCUGGAUGGAGUCACUGAAGCAGUUGGUGUGAGCUAAAAUGGACUCCAGAGGA